rnacentral:rRNA from 1 species
GACGAACGCUGGCGGCGUGCCUAACACAUGCAAGUCGAACGGGAUUCGCAUGCUCAGCACUGAGCGCAAGUUGGUAACAACAAGGUAGCAAGAAGUUGCCGACAGCGUCAUGCGAGAGCGGUAGCUCGAGCAUUACGCGAUUCCAAGGGCAUAGCACAUGCAAACUUGGACGCUGAGUGCUGAGCAGGCGAUGAGAGUGGCGAACGGGCGAGUAACGCGUGAGCAACCUACCUCGUACUGGGGGAUAACGUCGGGAAACCGGCGCUAAUACCGCAUAAGACUACGAUGCCGCAUGGCAAUGUAGUCAAAGCUCCGGCGGUACGAGACGGGCUCGCGUCCGAUUAGCUAGUUGGUAGGGUAAUGGCCUACCAAGGCGACGAUCGGUAGCCGGACUGAGAGGUCGGCCGGCCGCAUUGGGACUGAGACACGGCCCAGACUCCUACGGGAGGCAGCAGUGGGGAAUAUUGCGCAAUGGGGGAAACCCUGACGCAGCGACGCCGCGUGAAGGAAGAAGGCCUUCGGGUUGUAAACUUCUUUGAUCGGGGACGAAGGAAGACGGUACCCG